UUGGGCCGGAAGGGGAAAGGCGUAGGUUGUCAUCACGCUUUCUGACUUCGAGAUUGCUUUUCAGGUACUCAGUGAAGCUUUCAAGUACCGCGUUGGAGGGCCGUUCAGUGUCAGCUACAGGAGCUGAGGUCACAACACAGAUGUCAGCCUGGACUGUCGUCUCCAAGGGCGAACUGUAGAAUGGCCAUCAGUAUGUAAUCCUGGAACAGAAAAAAAAAAAAUUAUGAAAAGCUAAGAAGGACAGGGAAGCCUGGCAUGCUGCAGUCCAUGGUGUCUCAAAGAGUCGGACAUGACUGAGCAACUGAACAACAAUAAAGGAAUCGGAAUAAAGUGUGGACUUAAUAAUGCAUUGAUAUUGGUUCGCUGGAGAAGGAAAUGGCAACCUACUCCAAUAUUCUUGCCUGAAAAAAAUCCCAUGGACAGAGGAGUGGUGGGCUACAGUCUUUGGAGUUGCAAAGAGUUGGACGGGACUUUGCGACUGAACAUGCACAGAUUGGUUCAUUUAUUAUGGCAGAUGUUUCAUGGGUGUGACAUGUAUGGAUCCUAUCUGUACUAUCUUUUCAAUUUUUCUGUAAAUCUAAAAGUAUUCUAAAAAAGUUUAAUAAAAAAUUUUAUGGACACACAACUACCUUUUAUUCUCUUACUUUCAUGAUAAACUUAUUUUAAAAAUCAUACUACCUUAAUAUUAAAAAGCAUGCUUUCUAGUCCAUGGCAGUGUCAAUGUUUUCUACUGGCUGUCUUUUUUAACUUGGGUUUUAGCUGUAACUCCUACAUAUUUACUUGGCAAAUUAACCGAUAAACUCUCCUAUGCUUGGGGAUGUUUAUUUCCUGUGGAAUUUAAAUUUCCAAAUGAUUUCUCUUAAACUUUGAUUUAAACCUACAAUAUUAUACACACACUCACACAUCUGCAUGUACGCAUCUAAAUAUAUCUGUGUGUGUCAUUGAAAGAAACAUUUUUUGUUUGUAGAUUGAGUGUGAUGUUGGUGAACUGAGAACAGUGAUUUUGAAUCAUUAUUGAACAAAGCAAUAACAUAUUCAUAUAUUCUUCCAUCUUAAAAUGAGCUUGAUUGUAUUUUUUGAAUGAAUAAUUCAAUCAGAUUUUUAAAGUAUAGUUUCAAAAAAAUCUGGGCAAGUGCAUUGAAGGCAUUUAACACAUACAUUCUUGAAAUGGGAAUUACUGAGCUAGAGAACUUUGAUAAAAUAAUAAUAUGUAACACUCUUUCCAUGUUUAAUUCAUUCUCAUGGCAAUCCUGUAAAUUUUUAUAUCCUUCAUUUGAAGAGAAAGAAGCAGGUUCAGAGAGGAUAAAUGAUUUGCCCAAAGUCACAUGAGACAGAUGUAUAACUGGAAGUCAAAUUUAUAAUUAACGCCUGGUAUUUGGAAAGAAAAUGUAUCUCUCUGUGGACUGUUGUGUGUUACAAGGAUACUACUAAGAGUGCUGCAAGGAAGAUCUGAAACCAGUUUUUGAUAUCAGUUUCACUAGUAAAUAUUUGCAGUUGUAGCAAGUAAGGAAUAACUAAACAUUUUAUGGAUUAUUUUUCUCAGAAGAACUUUAUAUUGGUCAGAGAUUUUUUUAAAAAGAACUGAAAAGGGCAUACAAAUUCACGUGUUGGCAAGUUAUACUUUGAAAACUUAAGGUCAUAAACUGUCAGUAUAAACACAGGUCAAAAAACAAUUCUAGAAAUAUCUUUCCCACUUUUCAAAAUAAUUUGCCAUCUAAUGCAAAGUUUUCAAAGCUUGUGUUUGAUAGGGCCCUAUCCAUAGACUUUUUAGGUGGCCUAUACUCUAUUUUCUGACUGUAUUUUAAAUUUCUUCCUUGCAUACUUCUUCCUCAAAGUGUCUGGUAUAUUGCCAUUUUGUAAAUAUAGUUUGUUACAACUACAAUAUGACAUUUUUUUCAAUAUAAGUUAAAAGUGUAUAGAAAAAAAGGAUACAUUCAAAAAUAAGAAUCAGGUAUCAUUUUAAAUCAG